UGAUACGUCUCCUACGGGAGGCAGCAGUGGGGAAUAUUGCACAAUGGGCGAAAGCCUGAUGCAGCCAUGCCGCGUGUGUGAAGAAGGCCUUCGGUUGUAAGCACUUCAGCGAGGAGGAAAGGUUAGUACUUAAUACGUGCUAGCUGUGACGUUACUCGCAGAAGAAGCACCGGCUAAUUUAGUGCCAGCAGCCGCGGUAAUACUAAAGGUGCAAGCGUUAAUCGGAAUUACUGGGCGUAAAGCGCGCGUAGGUGGUUUGUUAAGUUGGAUGUGAAAGCCCAGGGCUCAACCUUGGAACUGCAUUCAAAACUGACUCACUAGAGUACGAGAGAGGUUAGUGGAAUUUCCUGUGUAGCGGUGAAAUGCGUAGAGAUGGGAAGGAACACCGGUGGCGAAGGCGACUGACUGGCUCGAUACUGACACUGAGGUGCGAAAGCGUGGGGAGCAAACGGGAUUAGAUACCCCCGUAGUCCA
rnacentral:rRNA from 1 species